UACAUAGGUGGCGAGCGUUAAUCGGAUUUACUGGGCGUAAAGCGUGCGUAGGCGGCUUUUUAAGUCGGAUGUGAAAGCCCCGGGCUUAACUGGGGAAGUGCAUUCGAAACUGGGAAGCUAGAGUAUGGGAGAGGAUGGUAGAAUUCCAGGUGUAGCGGUGAAAUGCGUAGAGAUCUGGAGGAAUACCGAUGGCGAAGGCAGCCAUCUGGCCUAAUACUGACGCUGAGGUACGAAAGCAUGGGGAGCAAAGAGG
rnacentral:misc_RNA from 1 species